rnacentral:rRNA from 1 species
AUUGAACGCUGGCGGCAUGCUUUACACAUGCAAGUCGAACGGUAACAGGCCGCAAGGUGCUGACGAGUGGCGAACGGGUGAGUAAUGCAUCGGAACGUGCCCAGUCGUGGGGGAUAACGCAGCGAAAGCUGUGCUAAUACCGCAUACGAUCUGUGGAUGAAAGCGGGGGACCGUAAGGCCUCGCGCGAUUGGAGCGGCCGAUGUCAGAUUAGGUAGUUGGUGGGGUAAAGGCUCACCAAGCCAACGAUCUGUAGCUGGUCUGAGAGGACGACCAGCCACACUGGGAGUGAGGCACGGCCCAGACUCCUAAGGGGGGCAGCAGUGGGGAAUUUUAGACAAUGGGCGCAAGCCUGAUCCAGCAAUGCGGCGUGCAGGAAGAAGGCCUUCGGGUUGUAAACUGCUUUUGUACGGAACGAAACGGUCCUGGUUAAUACCCGGGGCUAAUGACGGUACCGUAAGAAUAAGCACCGGCUAACUACGUGCCAGCCGCCGCCGAAGAC